rnacentral:lncRNA from 1 species
UGUGAGAUUGGGAGUGAUUCCAAGUGCAUUUGCUUGAGUGAUUGCAUCUAGUGGCACUUGGGGAUCGUUUUGGCUGCGGUUUUCAUGUUACUCUUGGUGGUUUUCGCCACCUAGACGGCUUCGAGCAGCGGAGGAGCUUUGGCACGAGUUGGUGAUUUUUCGUGGCCAUCUCUCGGUGAUUGUGAGAGGUUUGUGCCUACCUCGGCGGAGUGACAAAGGCAACAUUAGUGGAUUGCUUGUGUCAUUGAGCUACCUCACUUGUGGGUAGGUUCUUGUGGUGUCCUAGUGAGGACGAGAUUCAUGCUACACCUCUUAGCCACCGAACCACCAAGUGUUGGUCGACACAACGGGGACGUAGCGUGCCGGCAAGCACGUGAACCUUGGGAGAAAAAUUGCUUGUCUCCAUUGUGUUUGUUGAUUGGAUUUCUCCCAGUGAUUGGACUUCAUAUUAUUGAUUGGUUCAUCCCCUCUACGUGGCGGUAUAAAGAUCAAACCAUCUCUUUUACAUUCCCGCAAACUAGAGUAGCUUACUUACUUGUAUAGAAACUUUAGGUAGUUUUCUAGUGUAAGUAGUGACAUAGCUCUUGUGUGCCUAGUGAUCAUAUCAACUAGAAUUGUUGGAUAGGUGGCUUGCAAACACCCCAUUAGAGCUAGAGCAAAAAGCUACGCUUUGUUAUUUACUAACCACUUGCUCUAGUGAGUUUUGUAGAAUUUUUAAAUAGGCUAUUCACCCCCCUCUAGCCAUAUUAGGACCUUUCACAUGUUCACCAAGUGGUCUGUCUGUAGCUAUAGAUUACAUAGAGGCCCUCCAACGGCUUCUUUGGCCCUCGUGGAGGUACGCUUCUCCCCGUAGAGGUCGAUGCAGAAGGCUACACGUAGAUAUAGAAACAAAAAUACUAAAUUAAUAACCAAGUAAGUCUAAAACCUAAUGUAAGAGAUGUAUUAUAUAUGUUUACAUUUACAUACCUCGUCGGUAUUUCCUUCUUGUUGCACGACAAGUUGUUGGUCACGCGCAUUGCCCUCUUGUUGCUCAAGCGCAUUGCCUUGCUCAGUCGGAUUGUCUUGCAUGAUCUCGUUGUAAUCAAUAAAGUACUGACUACCGUCGUCGAUCAUAUUUUGAAUGGCAUCUUCCAUAUAAUCAGGAUUAUCGUGAGGACGGUCGGCUAUUUCUAUAUCUGCAACCAUAUAUAUAUAUAUAUAUAUUCUAUAUAAGAUAAGAAAUACACUAGAAUAAUAUAAGUGCUAGAGUGCUCCAAACUAAAAAAUAAUACUAAAAAAAAUAAUACGAACAAUAACACUAGAAUAAUAUACUAGCACAAUAUAUUUCAUAAAAAUUCAAAACACUACAAUUCAUAAUAUACUAGAAUAAUAUACUAAAAAGUCUUUUAAGCUAAGUAAUACACUAGAAUAAUAUACUAAAAAAUAAUACUAAAAAAUAAUACUAGAAUAAUAAUACAAACAAUAAUAUAUACAAAACACUACAAUUCAUAAUAUACUAGAACAAUAUACUAAAAAGUCUUUUAAGCCAAGUAAUACACUAGAAUAAUAUACUAAAAAAUAAUACUAAAAUAAUAGUAUAAACAAUAAUAGUAUAUGUUUUAAGCCAAGUAAUACACUUGCACCUAGAAUAAUAUACUAAAAAAUAAUACUACAAAAUAAUACAAGAAUAAUAGUACAAACAUUAAUAUAUACAAAAUAAUAGAAAAUAAAAUAUAUAUUAGAGACUUAUAUACUACUACUAGUACUACUACAAAUAAAAGUGCUGGAGUGCUCCAAAAAAUAAGACUAGAAUCUUUUA